rnacentral:rRNA from 1 species
CCUACGGGUGGCAGCAGUCGAGAAUCUUUCACAAUGGGGGAAACCCUGAUGCUGCGACGCCGCGUGGGGGAAUGAAGGUCUUCGGAUUGUAAACCCCUGUCAUGUGGGAGCAAAUGCAAAAGAUAGUACCACAAGAGGAAGAGACGGCUAACUCUGUGCCAGCAGCCGCGGUAAUACAGAGGUCUAAAGCGGUGUUCGGAAUCACUGGGCGUAACGCGUGCGUAGGCUGUUUCGUAAGUCGUGGGUUAAAGGCGCGGGAGCAACCCGCGGACGGCACAUGAUACUGCGGGACUAGAGUGAGGGAGGGGGAAGCGGAAUUCUCGGUGUAGCAGGGAAAUGCGUAGAUAUCGAGAGGAACACUCGUGGCGAAGGCGGGUUCCUGGACAUUAACUGACGCUGAGGCACGAAGGCCAGGGGAGCGAACGGGAUUAGAUACCCUGGUAGUC